rnacentral:rRNA from 1 species
UGGGGAAUAUUGGACAAUGGGCGAAAGCCUGAUCCAGCCAUGCCGCGUGUGUGAAGAAGGUCUUCGGAUUGUAAAGCACUUUAAGUUGGGAGGAAGGGUACUUACCUAAUACGUGAGUAUUUUGACGUUACCGACAGAAUAAGCACCGGCUAACUCUGUGCCAGCAGCCGCGGUAAUACAGAGGGUGCAAGCGUUAAUCGGAAUUACUGGGCGUAAAGCGCGCGUAGGUGGUUCGUUAAGUUGAAUGUGAAAUCCCCGGGCUCAACCUGGGAACUGCAUCCAAAACUGGCGAGCUAGAGUAUGGUAGAGGGUGGUGGAAUUUCCUGUGUAGCGGUGAAAUGCGUAGAUAUAGGAAGGAACACCAGUGGCGAAGGCGACCACCUGGACUGAUACUGACACUGAGGUGCGAAAGCGUGGGGGAGCAAACAGGAUUAGAUACCCUGGUAGUCCACGCCGUAAACGAUGUCAACUAGCCGUUGGGAGCCUUGAGUUCUUAGUGGCGCAG